GGGGGUGUAAUGGUUUCGACAUUGCUCUAGAAGUAUAAAUAGCGAGUAGUGGAUGGUCGCUUCGGCCACUAUAAAAAAGCGAAAAUAAAUUUAAACGCUGAUAAUACAGAAUUAGCAUUAGCUGCCUAAGCGCAGCUACGCCUUUUACAAUGUUCCCACGCAUAGUAAAAAGGUGUCAAACUAGUGGGAAACAAAUCUAUUUGGUAUCUUUGAAAAUAGAGGGUAUUUAAAAGAUAUAUUUAAGCUAAACAUGUUUGCUUGUAUAGUUUAGAUGAAUAAUUUUAGCAAACUGCACUCGGAGAAGUUUAUAUGGAAGGGGUAGUGGACAGGAGUUCAAAUCUCCUCACCUCCACCA
rnacentral:sRNA from 1 species